CCCACUGCAAAAUCUGUUUAAGGUUUAGGAGGGUCCUAUGUUCAAAAGUUUGCUGGUGUGUAUCUUUGUUGGCUCGACAUGUUUUUAAUUUAUGAUUGUUGUUGGUGGAGAGAGCGGAAGAUGCCGGGGACAGUUUGGAGAAGAUCAAGCGGCAGCUGGCCUCUGGGUCUGGUCGGAAUUUGUUGCAGGGUCCCCUUCUAAAGCGAUCUGAAACAUUGAGGAAAUGGAAUGAGCGAUGGGUAGUUUUGGACCCAACAACAGGGAAAAUGGAGUAACCAUACGUCCCAUUUACACUGUUUUUGGUCCUUCCUUGCUUGGUUCAAUGUAGUAAUAUGUUGGUGGAAACAGCUCAUUUCUAAUGCUGCUGCCGAUGGUGAUGGGGUCAAUGGACCUCUGCCAAGAGUGUUCAUAUCACAAAUUGUUGUGGAUUAGUUGAGUAAAUAAACUCAGAUGACAUGAAUAGCGCCAAACAACUACAAAGAGAACUGCCAUACUCCUAUAAUUGCUGCUAACCUACCUAACUAAGAAUAUACGACAAUCUCGAAAAUGUGCCAAUGAGAGACAUCAUCAGAUCCAGAGAUCAAGUUUGCCAAGAACUACUCAUAGUAGAAUUUGCAAAUAUGUGGUGCAAACUGAGCCAAGAAUAGACAACUCCAACCUUUUUGGAAUAGACGUGGUUAUCAACC